UAGGGAAUCUUCCGCAAUGGACGAAAGUCUGACGGAGCAACGCCGCGUGAGUGAAGAAGGAUUUCGGUUCGUAAAACUCUGUUGUUAGGGAAGAAAAAAUGUAUAGUAACUAUAUACAAAAGAGACGGUACCUAACCAGAAAGACACGGCUAACUACGUGCCAGCAGCCGCGGCAAUACGUAGGUGGCAAGCGUUGUCCGGUAUUAUUGGGCGUAAAGCGCGCGCAGGUGGUUUAGAAAGUCUGAUGUGAAAGCCCACGGCUCAACCGUGGAGGGUCAUUGGAAACUAAUAAACUUGAGUGCAGGAGAGAAAAGUGGAAUUCCUAGUGUAGCGGUAAAAUGCGUAGAGAUUAGGAGGAACACCGGUGGCGAAAGCGGCUUUUUGGCCUGCAACUGACACUGAGGCGCGAAAGCGUGGGGAGCAAACAGG
rnacentral:rRNA from 1 species